rnacentral:rRNA from 1 species
GACAGAGGUGCCAAGCGUUAGGCGGAAUCACUGGGCUUAAAGCGUGUGUAGGUGGACUGGUAAGUACCUUGUGAAAUCCCACGGCUUAACCGUGGAACUGCUUGGUAUACUGCUGGUCUUGAGCUAUCUAGGGGUUACCGGAACAAACGGUGGAGCGGUGAAAUGCGUAGAUAUCGUUUGGAACGCCAAUGGUGAAAACAGGUAACUGGGGAUAUGCUGACACUGAGACACGAAAGCCAGGGGAGCGAACGGG